AUUGAACGCUGGCGGCAUGCCUUACACAUGCAAGUCGAACGGCAGCAUGGAAGAGCUUGCUCUUCUGAUGGCGAGUGGCGAACGGGUGAGUAAAGCAUCGGAACGUACCGUGUAGUGGGGGAUAACGUAGCGAAAGUUACGCUAAUACCGCAUACGCACUGAGGUGGAAAGCAGGGGAUCGCAAGACCUUGCGCUAUACGAGCGGCCGAUGUCAGAUUAGCUAGUUGGUAGGGUAAAGGCCUACCAAGGCGACGAUCUGUAGCGGGUCUGAGAGGAUGAUCCGCCACACUGGGACUGAGACACGGUCCAGACUCCUACGGGAGGCAGCAGUGGGGAAUAUUGCACAAUGGGCGAAAGCCUGAUCCAGCCAUGCCGCGUGAGUGAAGAAGGCCUCGGUUGUAAAGGUACUCUUUCGGUCUUGGGAGGAAAUACGCACAGGCUAAUACUACUGUGUGG
rnacentral:rRNA from 1 species